CUGAAGGACAUGAGACUGCAGACGAAGCAGGAGUAGGUCUGGGUUCAUCUGGGGCAUCCCUAAAACCCUGGAGCUGUGUGAGAUCACAAAUAUAUAUAGAGAGAAAUAGUGCACAUUCUCUGCCUCUCUGACCUUGUCGGCUCGGUUUAAAAAGCAAGAGGGUCUGCGGCAAUUCAAAUGCAGGGAGGCUGAACUGUACAGCCAGCGGGAAGACCUUCAACUUUAUGGCAAGAGACGAGAAAGCAUGAUGGAGAUGCUCUCUGUGCAUCUCUACUGCCUGCUGCUACAGAGUAAUAGACUGGCAGUUGGAUGAGCUGCUGGGCAAGGCCAUUUAGGAGACGAGUCCUCUGAGAAAGAUCCUCAAAGUCAUGCCGGAAUGGGAAGGCGAUGCUGUCAAUCACUACCAACCUCACCUGUGAUUGGAUGAUACAACAUGAUGCUCAGAAAGGAAGUCAGGUAGGAGGUAAACCUCAGCUAACAGCUCUACAUAGUCAUGGCAACGGACCAAGAAGAGACUUGAGAGGAUCUUCUCGACAGUAAGUUCCUCUAAAGCCUGUCUCUGUUCUAAGAGGAA